AGACUCAGUGAAAUUGAACUCGCUGUGAAGAUGCAGUGUACCCGCGGCAAGACGGAAAGACCCCGUGAACCUUUACUAUAGCUUGACACUGAACAUUGAGCCUUGAUGUGUAGGAUAGGUGGGAGGCUUUGAAGUGUGGACGCCAGUCUGCAUGGAGCCGGCCUUGAAAUACCACCCUUUAAUGUUUGAUGUUCUAACGUGGACCCGUGAUCCGGGUUGCGGACAGUGUCUGGUGGGUAGUUUGACUGGGGCGGUCUCCUCCUAAAGAGUAACGGAGGAGCACGAAGGUUGGCUAAUCCUGGUCGGACAUCAGGAGGUUAGUGCAAUGGCAUAAGCCAGCUUGACUGCGAGCGUGACGGCGCGAGCAGGUGCGAAAGCAGGUCAUAGUGAUCCGGUGGUUCUGAAUGGAAGGGCCAUCGCUCAACGGAUAAAAGGUACUCCGGGGAUAACAGGCUGAUACCGCCCAAGAGUUCAUAUCGACGGCGGUGUUUGGCACCUCGAUGUCGGCUCAUCACAUCCUGGGGCUGAAGUAGGUCCCAAGGGUAUGGCUGUUCGCCAUUUAAAGUGGUACGCGAGCUGGGUUUAGAACGUCGUGAGACAGUUCGGUCCCUAUCUGCCGUGGGCGCUGGAGAACUGAGGGGGGCUGCUCCUAGUACGAGAGGACCGGAGUGGACGCAUCACUGGUGUUCGGGUUGUCAUGCCAAUGGCACUGCCCGGUAGCUAAAUGCGGAAGAGAUAAGUGCUGAAAGCAUCUAAGCACGAAACUUGCCCCGAGAUGAGUUCUCCCUGAGACUUAGAGUCUCCUGAAGGAACGUUGAAGACGACGACGUUGAUAGGCCGGGUGUGUAAGCGCAGCGAUGCGUUGAGCUAACCGGUACUAAUGAACCGUGAGGCUUAACCUUACA
rnacentral:rRNA from 1 species